AAUUUGGGCUUCAUGAUGGUGAAAGUUUAAGUUGGUGCCAAACUACCCCAAUAUAUUCUUUAAAAGUUCAUAUUUAUUGUGAUUUAUGAUCUUCACAUGUGCAUUAUGUUGCAUUAGAACGCUACUCUUCGCCCUGAGCGUCAUAAUGAAAAUAAAAACAGAAUAAUCACGUUUUAAACAUAAAAUGGAAACCUAACUUACUGGAUGUACAUACAUAAACCAGUCCUUCGUGACUACGACGGUUGGAUGGAGGUACAAAUACAAGAGGGGUCAUAUUUAGUACAUACUUCUUUUAUUUUCUUAAGAAAAUUAAGUGUGUUCUGGUUAAGAAAGGUCUGGUUUUUGGGGAGGAGGAUAUCUCUUGGCCAACAACUUUUACUCAUUUUCUCAGUUGUCUUUAACAGUUUGGUAGCUAAACCAGGUUUUAGGACAGACGACGUGGAAAACUGAUCUGUCUCAAAACUGCAGUGAUGACUUACUCGACUGACUCAAGUGAGAACUUGGUCCUGCUUUUAGACGGAUUUUUAUGAUUUUUGUUAACUAAAGUGGUAUAUUUUACAAGGAAUUAAAGCACUACUAAAUUUGUACAAUUUUUGAAUAAUGCAAAUUGAGCAUUAAUCCUUAAUUUUCCGUAUCAUAAUAAAGAAGAUCAAACUCA